rnacentral:rRNA from 1 species
GGGCCCGCACAAGCGGUGGAGUAUGUGGUUUAAUUCGAUGCAACGCGAAGAACCUUACCAGGGUUUGACAUCCUGCGAAUCUCUUGGAAACGAGAGAGUGCCUUCGGGAGCGCAGUGACAGGUGGUGCAUGGCUGUCGUCAGCUCGUGUCGCGAGAUGUUGGGUUAAGUCCCGCAACGAGCGCAACCCACGUCUUUAGUUGCCAGCAUUUAGUUGGGCACUCUAGAGAGACCGCCGGUGAUAAACCGGAGGAAGGUGUGGAUGACGUCAAGUCAUCAUGCCCCUUACAUCCUGGGCUACACACGUACUACAAUGCUACGGACAAAGGGCAGCAAACUCGCGAGAGCUAGCAAAUCCCAUAAACCGUGGCUCAGUUCAGAUCGUAGGCUGCAACUCGACUCCGUGAAGUCGGAAUUGCUAG